CACAUGCAAGUCGAGGGGCAGCGGGAUUGAAGCUUGCUUCAAUUGCCGGCGACCGGCGCACGGGUGAGUAACGCGUAUCCAACCUUCCGUACACUCAGGGAUAGCCUUUCGAAAGAAAGAUUAAUACCUGAUGGUAUGAUGAGAUUGCAUGAUAGCAUCAUUAAAGAUUCAUCGGUGUACGAUGGGGAUGCGUUCCAUUAGGUAGUAGGCGGGGUAACGGCCCACCUAGCCUACGAUGGAUAGGGGUUCUGAGAGGAAGGUCCCCCACAUUGGAACUGAGACACGGUCCAAACUCCUACGGGAGGCAGCAGUGAGGAAUAUUGGUCAAUGGACGAGAGUCUGAACCAGCCAAGUAGCGUGAAGGAUGAAGGUCCUACGGAUUGUAAACUUCUUUUAUAAGGGAAUAAAACCUCCCACGUGUGGGAGCUUGUAUGUACCUUAUGAAUAAGCAUCGGCUAACUCCGUGCCAGCAGCCGCGGUAAUACGGAGGAUGCGAGCGUUAUCCGGAUUUAUUGGGUUUAAAGGGAGCGCAGACGGGUCGUUAAGUCAGCUGUGAAAGUUUGGGGCUCAACCUUAAAAUUGCAGUUGAUACUGGCGUCCUUGAGUGCGGUUGAGGUGUGCGGAAUUCGUGGUGUAGCGGUGAAAUGCUUAGAUAUCACGAAGAACUCCGAUUGCGAAGGCAGCACACUAAGCCGUAACUGACGUUCAUGCUCGAAAGUGUGGGUAUCAAACAGGAUUAGAUACCCUGGUAGUCCACACGGUAAACGAUGGAUACUCGCUGUUGGCGAUAUACUGUCAGCGGCUUAGCGAAAGCGUUAAGUAUCCCACCUGGGGAGUACGCCGGCAACGGUGAAACUCAAAGGAAUUGACGGGGGCCCGCACAAGCGGAGGAACAUGUGGUUUAAUUCGAUGAUACGCGAGGAACCUUACCCGGGCUUAAAUU
rnacentral:rRNA from 1 species